GAUCAACGCUGGCGGCGUGCAUGAGACAUGCGAGUCGAACGAAGGAUCGGGCUUGCUCGAUCCUUAGUGGCGGACGGCUGAGUAACGCGUAGGUGACCUACCCCGAAGUGGGGAAUAACUGCCCGAAAGGGUGGCUAAUACCGCAUGUGGUCGCACGUUCAUUCGUGCGAGUAAAGCCGCAAGGCGCUUCGGGAGGGGCCUGCGUCCGAUUAGCUCGUUGGUGGGGUAAUGGCUUACCAAGGCGACGAUCGGUAGGUGGUCUGAGAGGACGAUCACCCAGACUGGGACUGAGACACGGCCCAGACUCCUACGGGAGGCAGCAGUCGGGAAUUUUGCUCAAUGGGGGAAACCCUGAAGCAGCAACGCCGCGUGAGGGAUGAAGGCCUUCGGGUUGUAAACCUCUUUUGUCAGGGACGAUGAUGACGGUACCUGGCGAAUAAGCCACGGCUAACUACGUG
rnacentral:rRNA from 1 species